AACAAAUGAUGACAACAUUCUGCCAAAUGAUUAAUAUGAUUAUAACCCUACCGUUCCAUAUAAAUCUGACUGUU
ensembl:snoRNA small nucleolar RNA SNORD47